UACGUAGGUGGCAAGCGUUGUCCGGAAUUAUUGGGCGUAAAGCGCGCGCAGGCGGUCCUUUAAGUCUGAUGUGAAAGCCCACGGCUCAACCGUGGAGGGUCAUUGGAAACUGGGGGACUUGAGUGCAGAAGAGGAAAGCGGAAUUCCACGUGUAGCGGUGAAAUGCGUAGAGAUGUGGAGGAACACCAGUGGCGAAGGCGGCUUUCUGGUCUGUAACUGACGCUGAGGCGCGAAAAGCGUGGGGAGCGAACAGG
rnacentral:rRNA from 1 species